rnacentral:rRNA from 1 species
UACGUAGGGACCGAGCGUUGUCCGGAAUCAUUGGGCGUAAAGAGCGUGUAGGCGGCCAGGUAGGUCGGUUGUGAAAACUGGAGGCUCAACCUUCAGAGGUCGACCGAAACCAUCUGGCUAGAGUCCGGGAGAGGAGAGUGGAAUUCCUGGUGUAGCGGUGAAAUGCGCAGAUAUCAGGAAGAACACCGAUGGCGAAGGCAGAUCUCUGGGCCGUAACUGACGCUGAGGAGCGAAAGCGUGGGGAGCGAACAGG